AUUGAACGCUGGCGGCAGGCCUAACACAUGCAAGUCGAACGGUAACAGGAAGAAGCUUGCUUCUUUGCUGACGAGUGGCGGACGGGUGAGUAAUGUCUGGGAAACUGCCUGAUGGAGGGGGAUAACUACUGGAAACGGUAGCUAAUACCGCAUAACGUCGCAAGACCAAAAAGGGGGACCUUCGGGCCUCUUGCCAUCGGAUGUGCCCAGAUGGGAUUAGCUAGUAGGUGGGGUAACGGCUCACCUAGGCGACGAUCCCUAGCUGGUCUGAGAGGAUGACCAGCCACACUGGAACUGAGACACGGUCCAGACUCCUACGGGAGGCAGCAGUGGGGAAUAUUGCACAAUGGGCGCAAGCCUGAUGCAGCCAUGCCGCGUGUAUGAAGAAGGCCUUCGGGUUGUAAAAUACUUUCAGCGGGGAGGAAGGGAGUAAAGUUAAUACCUUUGCUCAUUGACGUUACCCGCAGAAGAAGCACCGGCUAACUCCGUG
rnacentral:rRNA from 1 species